GACGAACGCUGGCGGCGUGCUUAACACAUGCAAGUCGAACGAGUGGCGAACGGGUGAGUAAUACGUGGGUAACCUGCCCUCUUUUUGGGAUCAGCCUUGGAAACGGGGUCUAAUACCGAAUAAAGGGGGAUGGGCUCGCGGCCUAUCUUCUUGUUGGGGGGGUGAUGGCCUACCUAGGCGCCGAUCCCUAGCUGGUCUGAGAGGAUGAUCAGCCACACUGGGACUGGGACACGGCCCAAACUCCUACGGGAGGCGUAAGUGGGGAAUAUUGCACAAUGGGCGAAGGCCUGAUGCGGCCAUGCGGCGUGUAUGAAGAAGGCCUUCGGGUUGUAAAGUACUUUCAGUCGGGAGGCGUUACCGACAGAGAAAGCACCGGCUAACUCCGUGCCAGCCGCCGCGGUAAUAC
rnacentral:rRNA from 1 species